UCCGGUGGCCAUAGUGGAAGGGAAACACCCGGUCCCAUUCCGAACCCGGUCGUUAAGCCUUCCAACGCUGAUGGUACUGCACGAGGGAUCGU
rnacentral:rRNA from 1 species